rnacentral:lncRNA from 1 species
AGGUCUCGGAAAUUAGCACACUACAGGAAAGCCAAUUUAUUAUUGUGAAUGGAUAUCAUUGCAUCUCUUCGGAUGCUCAUAGAUAGGCCUCUUUAGUUACUAUGUUUGUUGAGGAAGUUGAUCAUUAACUCAUUCACCUGCUCUGGAAGUUUCUCAUGAACAAAAUGGUUCCCUUCUUCUACAAAGACGGUUUCCAAAUCUGGAACUCUAUGCUUCAGUAUGUCACUCUUUAUGUAGUCUGCAAUGCCAGGGAAACUAAGAGCAUAGUCCUUCUCCCCCAUAAUCAGCAACGUUGGUGCUGUUAGAGAAUAAUAUAAAUCAUAUCCUGGGACCUCACCUAACAGCUUAAGCUAUUGGGUUGAGAUGGUUCUUUGACAUGGUAUCAGAGCCUUGAUGACCAAGCGGUCACGAGUUCAAAUCUCACCAUCCCCAUUUAUUUGAUAAAAAUUAAGCACAAGGUAAUGUGGGCCUGUGCAAGUUUCAAGCCCAAAGGGCUUUCACUUGAGGGGGUGUGUUAGAGAAUAAUAUAAAUCAUAUCCUGGGACCUCACCUAACAGCUUAAGCUAUUGGGUUGAGAUGGUUCUUUGACAGGUGCUACAACUUUUGGAUUAGUUAUUCCACAGCAAUCUAUGCCUAAAGUCCUGCACAGAAACUCUAACCAUUAACGUUCACUGUUAUUACUCUCUAGAGCUAAAUGCUUUGGUUUUCAGUCCCAGGAGUGUGCAAUUAGCAAGAAAAAUGGAAUUUUUUUUAUCAUUGCCUAGAAUAGUUUAAGUCACGUGAUGACAACGUAAUUAAAUAGUGAAUUUUUUUAUGUUUUUCCAUCGUUCUAGCCGUUGGAGGUUAAUUUUCUUUAACAUGGAGUUAUAUGGUUACCUGUAUGGAACCUGCAAUGAAUAGCGAAAUCCAGACUUCUCGUACAAGGAUGCAUAGACUGCAAGAUCUUCUUCAGAGAACCAUGGUGGUAGAGGAGUAGACGGGUCAACCAUGUCCAUGAUCUCUUGGUCCUCUCUAGCUGUUGGUGGCUUAGUUCCAGAGAAGAGAAUGUAGAUGUUUUUUAUCACUGUCUUAACAUCAAAUCGCCCGAAAUCUGCUUCAGCUCUGCCUGGCUCCU